rnacentral:lncRNA from 1 species
UUUUUUUUUCUUUCAAAAAAUGAAAAACAUUGAAAUUUUAAAUUUUAACAUCUCCAACACAAUCAUAACAUAAGCAUUCUAACUAGAAUAAAAGACAAUGAAAAUAAAUAUUUAAAGUUGAACUAAAAUCAUCAAUCAAGUCUUCCAAAGUCCACACUAACAACCUCACAACACAAAAAUCGUACAAAUGACUUAGAAAAGUUAAAUUGUAUGAUGUUGUUCAAAGAUUAGGGUUGUAUGCUUGUAACUACAUGUCGACAACUUGAUUAGUAAAAGUAAUGCGUGGGUGGAUUUAUUUAGUGUGUGUUGGAUUCUUUUCCAUCACAAAUUACACAAGUAAUCUACCUGAAAUAAAUGUUUAUGGAUUCUAUUACAUGUUAUAUGAGAGUAGAUUUAGAAAAGAAAGCUGGGGUAGAAGUAGAUAGUGCUAUGGAGAUGGAUGUAGGUACUUCAGGAGGAGGUUUGGUUCCGGAACCUUAUAUGGGGAAGAAAUAAUAGGUUAGGGUUUAGAGUUUUUAUAGGCCUUUUUUUAAUGUUUUGAGCUUAAAGUUUGGCAACACAUUGGGUUUAGCACAUUUUAACUUACAAAUUGGGUUUAGAAAAUAAUACCCAAAACAAAUAAUUAAAUAAAAAAUUUAUUUAAUUAAUUCGGUUUGGUUCGGUUUCUAUAUCACUAAAACCGAACCGAACCAAAAGAAUUUGGUUCGGUUCGGUUUUCAGUUUUUUGAACCCACCCCUAGUUGAAACCUCCAAAUCACAAGCUGUAAAUACCAUCAGAAAGAAGACUUCCAGGGCUUUCCAACCAUAUAUGGCCCAUUUUGUAAUUUGUUCUGAGCACUUCGGGGCAAAGCUCGUAAGUUGGCUAUUUUGCAAGGGCCUUUUUUGGUGGAUCUUGGCUCACUUGUGGGCUAUGGUCUGGUCUUGGGUGAGUUGGGCUUCAAACUAUCCAUUCUAGGAUCUUAAAAUAUUCAAAAUAAGAUGAUUUCUUCAAGCCCUUACUUUCAUCCUGAAAUACAAUAUAAACAACAAAAUACCUUGUGAUGAAUAGAGAUUUUAAAUCAAAACCUAAGAAAAAGAGGGCGUAAAAGUAUAACUUUAAUUCAAACUAGCAAUCUUGACUAGUCAAACUAGCAUACUUUAAUUCAUAAUUGCUUUGUUAUUACUGUUUGGGUAAUGAACUAUUUAAAUGUGUUCAAGCUUAGGAAUUAUUGUUGUGAAACUAAUUUGGGUAGACUCUGAUUAAUUGAACGUAAUGGUUAGUUAGGUUUUGUUCUUACAACUGCACUAUAUAUCACUGAUUAACUUGUGACUGGUUGACUAGCUCUUUUGACUAGUCUACUGUGCAAAGUUAAUUUUUAUUUGUAGGAUAUUCCACCUAGUAGCUAAUUUCAAUUAGUAUCAAAGUCUUGCUCUAGAUAUACAUAGAGUGAGGAAAUAAAGCAUAGGGAGACUACCCCAAAUUUUUGGCAAUGAUGCUAAUACCAAUGCCUCUUUUGUGAAUAUGAUCAUGUUUGUUGACUGAUAAAGUCACUGCCACCUGCAGAUUUUGAAGGACUUCUUAUUAUGGGUUGAGCAGGAUCUUGG